rnacentral:rRNA from 1 species
UACGUAGGUGGCGAGCGUUGUCCGGAUUUACUGGGCGUAAAGAGCGCGCAGGCGGUCGUUCAAGUCGAGUGUGAAAGCCCCCGGCUCAACUGGGGAGGGUCACUCGAUACUGAUCGACUCGAAGGCAGGAGAGGGUAGUGGAAUUCCCGGUGUAGCGGUGAAAUGCGUAGAUAUCUGGAGGAACACCGGUGGCGAAGGCGGCAUCCUGGACCGAGAUUGACGCUGAGGCGCGAAAGCCAGGGGAGCAAACGGG